UACGUAGGCAGCAAGCGUUGUUCGGAGUUACUGGGCGUAAAGAGUGUGUAGGCGGUUCUCUAAGUUCGGUGUGAAAUCUCCCGGCUCAACCGGGAGGGUGCGGUGAAUACUGAGGGACUAGAGUACGGGAGAGGAAAGUGGAAUUCCUGGUGUAGCGGUGAAAUGCGUAGAUAUCAGGAGGAACACCGGUGGUGUAGACGGCUUUCUGGACCGUAACUGACGCUGAGACACGAAAGCGUGGGUAGCAAACAGG
rnacentral:rRNA from 1 species